rnacentral:lncRNA from 1 species
CGGUUGUGGGGGACUGGCUGUGACCACCAUGGAAAACAGAAAACACCCAUCUUCCAAGAAGCCAAAAGACACCGAACAUGUAGAUGCCUAAAGAAGAGAGGAUAGCUAUCCAGAAAGAACCAUCAAAUAAAGAAGACUCUGAUGUACUCAUGUGAACAAAAAAAUUCCUAGCAGUAAUCUUUGAACUCUCUGGAAAGAAGAUGGGGUCCCAUUUCAUCGAUUCCACUUGAUUCAACUUGAUGUCUUUGAACUUGCAAACACCACCCUAAAACUGGUUUGGGGCUAUACUGCCCUAGACAACUCCAGAGUAGCUAGCUGAUAUGGUGCACCUUCUUAUUACACCCUGGCCAGAGCUUCAGAACAAUCCUGACUGGCAACAUGCUUUUCACCAGCCAAACCACGUGUGUCCAGAUCUUAGAGGAAAAUGAAAUAAUGCCUCUAGGUUUGGAGGAACUGCUCGAUUAGCCUAGACUUCUCUAUCAAAUAGUGGUGAAAAUAAAAUGAAGGCAGGUACGAAAGAAUUUCCCUGGGAUGCUCACCAGCUUCUUAGGAAGUACCUUGGGGAUACAUGCUGUAGCAAAACUCUGGAAGUGCUCCCUGAAAGAGGAAGGUGCAGAGCACAGGAGACGCGAUCUCAUUCGGGGGAUGAGUAGUAGUUGUCUGGCCCGAGAUGACUCUGUCAGUGAUCCCAGCACCUGGAAAGCAACUGGUGGACAAAGGCACGGAAGAGGAGCCGUUAGCCUAAAUCUCCUUUUGUACCCCAGAUUCGUGUUCACUAUGACUUUUGUUUUGUUUUUAAGAUUUACUUUUGUUAUUU